UGUUUAUAUUCUUCCUGGGGAAAUGCUUUCAACAAAAGCGAAAACAAAAGAAAUCGUCUGCAGAGAAUUUCGUCGAUAUUCCUCCUUACGACGUCAAUCUACAUAGAAUGCCUUCUUCGACCAAUAUACUUCAUGAUGCAAUCUCUGAUGAAACACCAGUUGAUGAAUAUGCAACCAUAAAAACGGAAGAAGAAACUAGAUGACGUCAUAACGAGGAUGAGCUUGAUGACGGAGAGUAUCAUACACUUACUCUCCGUGUAACAGGAUACGAGGAACCAAUCAAGAAGAAACGCCUCGUUAGAAGAUACUCCGACUCCUCUUCAACGUAUAUGAAAAGUUCUGCAUGCAAUUUAGUUCGAUCUAAAGACAAUUAUGACCUGUCUUA